rnacentral:rRNA from 1 species
GGCGGCAUGCCUUACACAUGCAAGUCGAACGGCAGCACGGGGGCAACCUUGGUGGCGAGUGGCGAACGGGUGAGUAACAUAUCGGAACGUACCCAAGAGCGGGGGAUAACGCAGCGAAAGUUGCGCUAAUACCGCAUACGAUCUACGGAUGAAAGUGGGGGAUUCGCAAGGACCUCACACUCCUGGAGCGGCCGAUAUCUGAUUAGCUAGUUGGGGAGGUAAAAGCUCACCAAGGCGACGAUCAGUAGCUGGUCUGAGAGGACGACCAGCCACACUGGAACUGAGACACGGUCCAGACUCCUACGGGAGGCAGCAGUGGGGAAUUUUGGACAAUGGGCGCAAGCCUGAUCCAGCAAUGCCGCGUGAGUGAAGAAGGCCUUCGGGUUGUAAAGCUCUUUUGUCAGGGAAGAAACGGUGUUUCCUAAUAUGGAAUGCUAAUGACGGUACCUGAAGAAUAAGCACCGGCUAACUACGUGCCAGCAGCCGCGGUAAUACGU